GGUAAAUCCGGUUCACUUUAACACUGAGGCGUGAUGACGAGGCACUACGGUGCUGAAGCAACAAAUGCCCUGCUUCCAGGAAAAGCCUCUAAGCAUCAGGUAACAUCAAAUCGUACCCCAAACCGACACAGGUGGUCAGGUAGAGAAUACCAAGGCGCUUGAGAGAACUCGGGUGAAGGAACUAGGCAAAAUGGUGCCGUAACUUCGGGAGAAGGCACGCUGACACGUAGGUGAAGUGAUUUACUCAUGGAGCUGAAGUCAGUCGAAGAUACCAGCUGGCUGCAACUGUUUAUUAAAAACACAGCACUGUGCAAACACGAAAGUGGACGUAUACGGUGUGACGCCUGCCCGGUGCCGGAAGGUUAAUUGAUGGGGUCAGCGCAAGCGAAGCUCCUGAUCGAAGCCCCGGUAAACGGCGGCCGUAACUAUAACGGUCCUAAGGUAGCGAAAUUCCUUGUCGGGUAAGUUCCGACCUGCACGAAUGGCGUAAUGAUGGCCAGGCUGUCUCCACCCGAGACUCAGUGAAAUUGAACUCGCUGUGAAGAUGCAGUGUACCCGCGGCAAGACGGAAAGACCCCGUGAACCUUUACUAUAGCUUGACACUGAACAUUGAGCCUUGAUGUGUAGGAUAGGUGGGAGGCUUUGAAGUGUGGACGCCAGUCUGCAUGGAGCCGACCUUGAAAUACCACCCUUUAAUGUUUGAUGUUCUAACGUGGACCCGUGAUCCGGGUUGCGGACAGUGUCUGGUGGGUAGUUUGACUGGGGCGGUCUCCUCCUAAAGAGUAACGGAGGAGCACGAAGGUUGGCUAAUCCUGGUCGGACAUCAGGAGGUUAGUGCAAUGGCAUAAGCCAGCUUGACUGCGAGCGUGACGGCGCGAGCAGGUGCGAAAGCAGGUCAUAGUGAUCCGGUGGUUCUGAAUGGAAGGGCCAUCGCUCAACGGAUAAAAGGUACUCCGGGGAUAACAGGCUGAUACCGCCCAAGAGUUCAUAUCGACGGCGGUGUUUGGCACCUCGAUGUCGGCUCAUCACAUCCUGGGGCUGAAGUAGGUCCCAAGGGUAUGGCUGUUCGCCAUUUAAAGUGGUACGCGAGCUGGGUUUAGAACGUCGUGAGACAGUUCGGUCCCUAUCUGCCGUGGGCGCUGGAGAACUGAGGGGGGCUGCUCCUAGUACGAGAGGACCGGAGUGGACGCAUCACUGGUGUUCGGGUUGUCAUGCCAAUGGCACUGCCCGGUAGCUAAAUGCGGAAGAGAUAAGUGCUGAAAGCAUCUAAGCACGAAACUUGCCCCGAGAUGAGUUCUCCCUGAGACUUUAGGUCUCCUGAAGGAACGUUGAAGACGACGACGUUGAUAGGCCGGGUGUGUAAGCGCAGCGAUGCGUUGAGCUAACCGGUACUAAUGAACCGUGAGGCUUAACCUUACA
rnacentral:rRNA from 1 species